UGCGCUGCUCUGCGCCCAAACGGACGUCGUGCCCGGAACCGUGGGCUCAGAGCAGGCACAGC
rnacentral:pre_miRNA from 1 species